UGUCUAUUGGAAGUUUCUUUGAGGAUAUGAUUGAUAAUUUAGAGCGGAUGGCCUGUUAAAUAACUUGGAUUUUAAUAGAUUAUUUUCUCUUUUAACGGUUGGGGUUUCCGGCCCAGCGCAACCCGGCCUUCGCGCGCGCACAGGGUUUCCAAUAUUCGAAAAUAAAACAUUUCCGAAUAACUCCGAUGAGAGCCGGCUAGCAGGCUAUCUCGAAAAUGAAUUCGCUUGACGUCUGGCAGAACUCAGGAAAUAUCUUUCAAGUUUUUCAAAUGUCUUGCAAGCAGCGUUUUUAUGACCGUUUUUUUUUUACUUUUUUGCGCACAAGUCCAAGGGCCUACCUACACGCACUCGUUGUAAACCAUUUAAUUUUAUUUUCGGUGGUUCCCUGUUCAAUUAGACGAUAUUUUCGUUUCGUAAAACCCCAUGACGGCGGACGACACUGGUGAGCUCGAUACAUCAUUGCAUGAAAUGAAUUUGGAUGGUCUAAGUGUUCUGGCACUCAUUUGAACUCAUACUGCUCUGGUUGGAUUGUAUUUAUCACAAAUAUACACUUUCAGAUAUAUAAUUCGAGCACAUAUUGUCUUUAUGUUCCCUAGAAGAAGCUCAAAAGCGAGGAAGUCACUAUUCGCACAUGACCUUACGCCGAAUUUCAAACUCCAGGAAAGUUUUUAGGCUAUUUCUGCAGUUGUCAUGUGCACAUGGAAUUUUACAGGCAAGAAAUUCAGUAUGGAUAGGUCCUUUUUCGUCUGUGAAAAUUCGUAACAUUUUUGCUCGCCGAUUUCGUCCGCCAUCUUGGAUCUGUAAUCUGCCAGUCGUUAUUUUUUUCCGUCCUCGCUUCAGGAUUCCUGUGGAUGUCCACGCAACAGCAGAUAACGACUGGGUACGAGUCUGAUACGGAUAUGCCCCCCAAAAUCCACUCUCUAUAAUCAUCUCGCGCAUGCGUGGUAUUUUCCGCUGAACGGCUGUCUCACCGGCGCGAGAAUGACCUGCAAAAUUAGACUUGCUCUUCGCUCGCGAGCAAUAAUACUUUAUGAGCACUGCCUUAAACACGAAGGCGCGGUAUAAAAAGGUGCUUCCAUUGGAAGCAUCGGCUCAUUUGUCAAUCAACCACCGUGGAGUGAGGAUCAAAAUUCAAGAUGGCAGCACGAGUCAAGUACAAAAUGUAGAGGGGAGACGUUUCAAAGCGCUUCCUGAUGUAUAAAAAUGCCAAUUCUACCUUCUAGUCCGAUAGAAUGUGUAAAAAAGGAAACUCAGUAUAAAUAAAGCUACGAAACCAUCGUGAUUUACGCUAAAGAACGAGCAAAUGCAGGAUCGGAAAACAAAGAUUUCAAACCUCGAAAAAAGCUAUACCCAAGAAGUCAUGGUGACAUCUGAAUAAUCAACACGAUAUAUUUCUCAAGAAAAAGCAGAUACAUAGGCAUAUACAGUAUUACAUUUCCCUGUGAUUUUAAAUCAUAAACAUUCCUUUAUAAAGGAAACAUGUUUUGUUGCUAUCAAAUUGAUUUAUGUAUUACUGAAGCGUGUUUAACGAUACCGUAGACCCAAAUGGCUUCAUUUCGGGUGAAUAUUUUUUACUAUGCCAUUCGAAAACAAUAGGCAAAAACAAUAGGCAAAAAACAAUAGGCAAAAAAACACCAAAAUCUUAAAUACUCCGCCAGAUAUUCAAGAAAAAACGAAUUCGAACGAGUGUCAGGGUUCGCACAAGUCCUCGAAAACCUUGAAAGUGCUUGAAUUUUAAAAUUUGAACUUCAAGGUCUGGAAAGUGCUGGAAUUCUUAUUAUCAGUCCUUGAAAGUCCUUGAAAAUAUUUGAUUAAAGAAACAAAAGCAAA